UUUGAUCCUGGCUCAGGAUGAACGCUAGCGAUAGGCUUAACACAUGCAAGUCGAGGGGUAACGUGUUGGAAGCUUGCUUCCGAUGACGACGACCGGCGGAUGGGUGCGUAACGCGUAUGCAACUUGCCUCACAGAGGAGAAUAACCCGGAGAAAUCCGGUAAAGGAUGGGGAUGCGUUCCAUUAGGUUGUUGGUGAGGUAACGGCCCACCAAGCCUACGAUGGAUAGGAGUUCUGAGAGGAAGGUCCCCACAUUGGAACUGAGACACGGUCCAAACUCC
rnacentral:rRNA from 1 species